GGAUGUGAGGGCGAUCUGGUUGCGACAUCUGUCACCCCAUUGAUCGCCAGGGUUGAUUCGGCUGAUCUGGCUGGCUAGGCGGGUGUCCCCUUCCUCCCUCACCGCUCCAUGUGCAUCCCUCCCGAAGCUGCGCUUCGAUGGUCGAAGAGGACGACCAUCCCCGAUAGAGGAGGACCGGUCUUCGGUCAAGGGUAUACGAGUAGCUGCACUCCCCUGCUAGAACCUCCAAACAAGCUCUCAAAGUC
rnacentral:lncRNA from 1 species